rfam:Verticillium dahliae VdLs.17 supercont1.54 mitochondrial scaffold, whole genome shotgun sequence.
UGUGGGUUGAUGUAAUAGUAACAUAUUUGGCUCAUGACCAAAAGUCAGAGGUGCAAAUCCUUUAUCCGCAU